ACCGCGUCUCAGCCUUUUGGCUAAGAUCAAGUGUAGUAUCGGUUCUUAUCAGUUUAAUAUCUGAUAUGUCCCUUAUCUGGGAACCACAUAUUGUAUUAUUUUUUAGAAUAGGGAGAUAGAAUAGGAGCUUGCUCCAUCCACUCUACACAUCAUGCAGUGUGCAGUAGUGCAGCGGUUAGCAUUGGUGCCUUAUAA